rnacentral:RNase_P_RNA from 2 species
CGAGACGGCCGGGCGAUCGCGGCGCACGGAACCACCCUGUACACGGGGCAGGCCGGGCGCGGAGGAAAGUCCGGACUCCACAGGGCAACGGUGGUUGCUAACAGCAACCCGGGGCGACCCGCGGGAACAGUGCCACAGAAAACAAACCGCCCGCCACGCGCGGGUAAGGGUGAAAAGGUGCGGUAAGAGCGCACCAGCACCCCAGGCGACUGGGGUGGCUAGGUAAACCCCACCGGGAGCAAGGUCAAGGUGCCCGCACGCACGCCAUCCCAGAUGGUGCACCAGCGUGCGGCGUAGCUCUAGGGCUGCCCGCCCAACAAUGAGCAGGUAGGCCGCUUGAAGCCACCAGCAAUGGUGGGCUCAGAUGGAUGAUCGCCUCGUCCCACGCCUUCUUCGCGUGCCCCUCGCGGGCGCUGCGGAAAUGGACGGGGGAUAGGACAGAAUCCGGCUCAUAGGCCGUCUCGGCGC